rnacentral:lncRNA from 1 species
AAAUAAUUAAAAAUAAAAGGGUAGAACAAUAAAGGUAGUUCAAAAAUGUUAAUAUAGAUGUAUGCGAAAUGCGAUACUAAUUUUUUUACCAUUUGUGUCAGUUGAAUCAUGUUUAGCUUUGUUUUGUUUUUUUUUUUUGGUGAUAGAUUAGUAAAAUAAAUGCAUUUUCAUGAUAUAGAUACAGUUUUUUUUUUAAGUAUGCCUGCGUAUAUACCAUCAUAUUUUAAAAAACUGGUGAUAUAUAUAAUACAUACUAUAUUGGAUAUUUGAAUCUCGAAAGCUUUUUAAGUUACAUGGGGACACCUUAUGAUGCAAUGAUACAUGUGAAUCUUUUGGUUCACACCUUUAAAUGAUUCCCAAAAAAUAUUUUAUGUUUUAUUCUUUUUUUCUUUUUUGGUAAAAGGUUAAACUAUUCUCCAUAAAAAAAUCUUUUCUGGUAUUUAAUAACAUAUGAAUUAGAUAUCGUUAUAUGAAGAUCGGUAAUAUAUAUUUGAAAGGAUUGUUUGUAUAUAAUAGAAUUUAGAUCAAAAUAUAAACCAUUGAGGAAUAAAU